rnacentral:rRNA from 1 species
UACAGAGGUCUCAAGCGUUGUUCGGAUUCAUUGGGCGUAAAGGGUGCGUAGGUGGCGCCGUAAGUCGGUUGUGAAAUCCCCGGGCUCAACCUGGGAACUGCAUCCGAGACUGCAUUGCUAGAGUAUGGGAGAGGAAAGCGGAAUUUCUGGUGUAGCAGUGAAAUGCGUAGAUAUCAGAAGGAACAUCAGUGGCGAAGGCGGCUUUCUGGACCAAUACUGACGAUCAGGUGCGAAAGCGUGGGGAGCAAACAGG